AUUGAACGCUGGCGGCAUGCUUUACACAUGCAAGUCGAACGGCAGCGCGGGCUUCGGCCUGGCGGCGAGUGGCGAACGGGUGAGUAAUACAUCGGAACGUGCCCAGUAGUGGGGGAUAGCUCGGCGAAAGCCGGAUUAAUACCGCAUACGACCUGAGGGUGAAAGCGGGGGAUCUUCGGACCUCGCGCUAUUGUAGCGGCCGAUGGCAGAUUAGCUAGUUGGUGGGGUAAAGGCGUACCAAGGCGACGAUCUGUAGCUGGUCUGAGAGGACGACCCGCCACACUGGGACUGAGACACGGCCCAGACUCCUACGGGAGGCAGCAGUGGGGAAUUUUGGACAAUGGGCGAAAGCCUGAUCCAGCAAUGCCGCGUGUGUGAUGAAGGCCUUCGGGUUGUAAAGCACUUUUGGCGGGAACGAAAAGGACUGUGCCAAUACCACGGUUCGAUGACGGUACCCGCAGAAUAAGCACCGGCUAACUACGUG
rnacentral:rRNA from 1 species